rnacentral:lncRNA from 1 species
UCAAAAUUUCUCGGCUUAUGAAUUUCUUAAACUUGGCCCCUGCCAGAAUCAUUCUCGCGGGUACCUUCGUCAAGGUAUCCCACUGAGACCGCCAAGGCUGUUCAAUGACCCAUACCCAUAAACAUGCUUUCACAUCUGACACACAACCGUUCUUUUGCGUUGGUUGAGUCUCACUCUCACGUGGUGGCCCGAACGUGAGGUGCAUUCAAAUCAUACCUCAAGAGAUACUUCACCCAACAUCUCCCCCCGGAGGUAAGUAUAUAAUUGAGUUAUCGUGCCCCUCUCAUAGGCAGUCCACGGAAACCCCCACCACUGCAGUGACCGUGAGGUGCAUUCAAAUCUUACCUCAAGAGAUACUUCAUCCAACAUCUCCCCCCGGAGGUAA